AAAAUAUUUUCCCGCAAAACUUGAAUCUCGUACGAGGGUGUAGAAGGGGUUAGCAGCAGCUGUUUAAACCACGUUUCACCCCAACUAAACUCGUUCAGGAAGGACUUGCGCUCCAAAUUCUUUGCGACGAAAAAUCCGGCCAGAUCUAUAGAAACCGAAACGACGGUUCAUUGUGGGGCUAUUGUGGGGAUACCAUCGUCGCUGACCGGCCCUUCAUUGCGCAGCGGAGUCUGCAACGCGCAAAUGGCGCCCUUCUCUAAGGGUAAACAACUGACAGCUGACCCACGCUCGUGCUGGGUGACCCAUACUUACCGUUCAUCUGCUGACACCACCCCCUGUCCCCCUCGGCGCGGAACGGCGUACACAUUUCCAUGUGAGUUUUUAACAUCUCGCCUCCCAGAAUCGGGAUUACAGCCGACUUCGGUUCUUCUAAUAAGGGCUUGUUAUGCAGACGACCGGAUUAUCCGAUGUUCAACAUCUGUUUGAUGAGAGUAGCGCAGCGUUCUGCCUGUGUUCGAAGGAUCAUUCAGAGGGGUGAACGCGGAACUGCAAAUGGUAAAUUUUUCCUUGAGAAGAGAGGAGAAUGAGAUACGGCACGCGUUCAUCACUCACCAUACGAGUGCACACUCUGCUAAAAAAAGCUGAUCGAAUCAGAUAAAGAAACACAAAAUAUAACCAAAAAUUAUAUUUUUUAUA